rnacentral:tRNA from 1 species
UUAAAAAUAGUGUAUUUGCAUACUAAAUUUUGGAUUUAGUGGAAGGAACUAGCCUUUUUUAAA